rnacentral:rRNA from 1 species
AGAGUUUGAUCCUGGCUCAGGAUGAACGCUAGCGGCAGGCCUAACACAUGCAAGUCGGACGGUAACAGGGAUUGCUUGCAAUCCGCUGACGAGUGGCGCACGGGUGCGCAACGCGUAUAGAACCUACCCUGUACAGGGGGAUAGCCCAGAGAAAUUUGGAUUAAUACCCCGUAGUACCUAUUAGAGGCAUUUUUAAUAGGUUAUAGUUUUCGAACGGUAUAGGAUGGCUAUGCGUCUUAUUAGCUAGUAGGUCAGGUAACGGCUUACCUAGGCAACGAUAAGUAGGGGCCCUGAGAGGGGGAUCCCCCACACUGGUACUGAGACACGGACCAGACUCCUACGGGAGGCAGCAGUGAGGAAUAUUGGACAAUGGGCGGAAGCCUGAUCCAGCCAUGCCGCGUGCAGGAAGACGGCCCUAUGGGUUGUAAACUGCUUUUAUACGGGAAGAAUAAGGGAUACGUGUAUCCUGGUGACGGUACCGUAAGAAUAAGGACCGGCUAACUCCGUGCCAGCAGCCGCGGUAAUACGGAGGGUCCGAGCGUUAUCCGGAAUUAUUGGGUUUAAAGGGUCCGCAGGCGGGCAAUUAAGUCAGAGGUGAAAUGGUGCGGCUCAACCGUAGCACUGCCUUUGAUACUGGUUGUCUUGAGUCAUGGUGGAGUGGCCGGAAUAUGUAGUGUAGCGGUGAAAUGCAUAGAUAUUACAUAGAACACCGAUCGCGAAGGCAGGUCACUAACCAUGAACUGACGCUGAUGGACGAAAGCGUGGGGAGCGAACGGGAUUAGAUACCCCGGUAGUCCACGCCGUAAACGAUGGAUACUAGCUGUCCGCUACCUUGAGUAGUGGGCGGCCAAGCGAAAGUGAUAAGUAUCCCACCUGGGGAGUACGUUCGCAAGAAUGAAACUCAAAGGAAUUGACGGGGGCCCGCACAAGCGGUGGAGCAUGUGGUUUAAUUCGAUGAUACGCGAGGAACCUUACCAGGGCUUAAAUGCAGAAUGACAGGUUUAGAGAUAGACUUUUCUUCGGACAUUUUGCAAGGUGCUGCAUGGUUGUCGUCAGCUCGUGCCGUGAGGUGUCAGGUUAAGUCCUAUAACGAGCGCAACCCCUGCCGUCAGUUGCCAGCAAGUAAAGUUGGGGACUCUGACGGGACUGCCGGUGCAAACCGCGAGGAAGGUGGGGACGACGUCAAAUCAUCACGGCCCUUACGUCCUGGGCU